rnacentral:rRNA from 1 species
CCCUUAGAUGUCCGGGGCUGCACGCGCGCUACACUGAAGGAAUCAGCGUGCUAAAACCAUUGUCGAAAGGCAUUGGUAAACCCAUUAAAAUCCUACGUGAUUGGGAUCGGGAAUUGCAAUUAUUUCCCUUGAACGAGGAAUUCCCAGUAAGUGUGGGUCAUAAGCUCGCGUUGAUUACGUCCCUGCCCUUUGUACACACCGCCCGUCGCUGCCCGGGACUGAGCCGUUUCGAGAAAAGCGGGGACUGCUGCUGUCGGGGCUUUCGGGCCUUGACUUCGGUGGAAACCGCUUUAAUCGCAGUGGCUUGAACCGGGCAAAANUCGUANCA